AGCUCACUCCUUGCUAGUCUUAUUUCUAAAUGUUUUAGCAUGGAACCUCUUACGAGUUGACCUAACCUCUCUUGAGCUUCAUUACCAUUCUCUACACAUCAAUACUUCACGAUUUCUUCCACUCAUUUUAGCCACCAAAUCCCACCAAAUUUCACACCCAAAAAAUAUAAAACAAAAGACAUAAAACCAUGCAAACUAGGAUUGCAUCACAAGACUUCAAC
rnacentral:lncRNA from 1 species